GAUGAACGCUGGCGGCGUGCUUAACACAUGCAAGUCGAACGAUGAAGCCCAGCUUGCUGGGUGGAUUAGUGGCGAACGGGUGAGUAACACGUGAGUAACCUGCCCUUAACUCUGGGAUAAGCCUGGGAAACUGGGUCUAAUAACGGAUAGGAGCGUCCACCGCACGGAGGGUGUUGGAAAGAUUUAUCGGUUUUGGAUGGACUCGCGGCCUAUCAGCUUGUUGGUGAGGUAAUGGCUGACCAAGGCGACGACGGGUAGCCGGCCUGAGAGGGUGACCGGCCACACUGGGACUGAGACACGGCCCAGACUCCUACGGGAGGCAGCGGUGGGGAAUAUUGCGCAAUGGGCGCAAGCCUGAUGCAGCGACGCCGCGUGAGGGAUGACGGCCUUCGGGUUGUAAACCUCUUUCAGUAGGGAAGAAGCGAAAGUGACGGUACCUGCAGAAGAAGCACCGGCUAACUACGUG
rnacentral:rRNA from 1 species